CCUACGGGAGGCAGCAGUGAGGAAUAUUGGUCAAUGGGCUUACGCCUGAACCAGCCAAGUCGCGUGAGGGAAGACUGCCCUAUGGGUUGUAAACGUCUUUUGUCAGGGAGCAACGCCGGCUACGUGUAGGCGGACUGAGAGUACCUGAAGAAAAAGCAGCGGCUAACUCCGUGCCAGCAGCCGCGGUAAUACGGAGGAUGCGAGCGUUAGCCGGAUUUAUUGGGUUAAAAGGGUGCGGAGGCGGAAUGCCAAGUCAGCGGUAAAAUCGCGGGGCUCAACCUCGCUCCGCCGUUGAAACUGGCGUUAUUGAGUGGGCGAGAGGUAUGCGGAAUUCGUGGUGUAGCGGUGAAAUGCAUAGAUAUCACGAAGAACUCCGAUUGCGAAGGCAGCAUACCGGCGCCCAACUGACGCUGAAGCACGAAAGCGUGGGUAUCGAACAGGAUUAGAUACCCUUGUAGUC
rnacentral:rRNA from 1 species